rnacentral:lncRNA from 1 species
AAACUGGACACAUGGAGACAUUGAGCCACUGCCCAAAGUUACACAGGAAAGCCAGCUAUGUCAAUGUGGACACUCGAGCAGUCCUCUGGAGUGAGCCACAUGGUGAAAAAUGGAGUCCUCCUGCCACCAGCCAAAAGGGACUUGCCAACCUUGUGACUGAGCCGGCCCAGACACUCCAGCCCCAGUUAAACCUUUGGAAGACUGUGGCCUCACCAACAUCUUGACUGCAACUUCGUGAGAGACCCAGAGCUAGACCCAUGCAACUAAGCUGCUCCCCAAUUCCUGGCCCACAGACACUGGGAGAGAUAAUACAUGUUUAUUUCUGUUUGAAGCUGCUAAGUUUUGGGUAAUUUGUUUUGCAGCAAUAGGUAAUUGAUAGCAUUAGGAAACAUUAGCUAAUGCUAACAAUGUUUUGCAGAUGAGGGAAUUGAGGCAUAAAAGUAACUUGCCCCAGGUCACACAGGUAACAAGUCGUUUAAACCAUGGCAGUUUGGAUCUAUGUAAAGUUCAGUAAUAAAUUAGAAUCUCUCUUUUACAGGAAUCAGGACACUUUGCCUGCUCAGAGGGAGAGAGGGAAAGAGACAGAGACACAAACACAGAGAGACAGUGACAUGGAGAAGUGCGCCGUGGGCUCACAGUACCAUGUGAAGGACUGGGGCUGCCCUUCUGUAAAGUGAAGGCAGUGGAGAAGUGAAGUGAAGUGUAAGUGAAGAGGAAAGUGAAGGAUGGUAGAGAGCACCCUUGCCCUUGCAGCCUGGCUGUGUUUGGCUUGGGGCUGCUGGUCUCCGACCCUGGCUGGGCUGGUGACACAGCCUAAGGUACCUGGGGGUGGAAUCUGGCACCCCUGAGCAGACCCCUCCCUGGCUCUUGUCCCCCUGUGCUGACACUCUCUGUCCCAGGCUCUCUCUGCCUCCAGACCAGAGCUCCUCCAGGGAAAAGGUGGAGUCUUGUUCGUCUGUGUCCCUCACCUAGCAUAAGGCCUGCCAGAGCAGGCUGGGCGAGGUGAACACAGAAGGUCCUCUGGCCCUGGUACUGGAGAGGCAUCAUCACUGGGGACAGAGUGAGAACCAGGAUGAUGCUGUUUGUUACUGGAGGAGCUCCCAUUGGAUGGAGGAGCCAACAACGACAGGCCAGUGUGAUCAGGGAGAUUGGGACACACAGUGCCGUGGGGGCCCAGAGGAGCAGGGAGGAUCUCUGUGGAGGAGGCGAGAAGUCUUCCCAGAGGAGGAGGCAUUUGAGAAAUUAACCAGUUUAUGUGCCCUGAAAAAUUCCCACUUCCACCCUCUGGGUUCGCAUGCUGGCUCAGUCACUUACUAGCUGUGUGACCUCUCUGCUGCUUAGCUUACUCAUCUGUAAAAUGGGAUAAACACAAAACCUGCCUGAUGGAGAUGUCGUAAGGAUCAAAGAGGAAAAAGAAUUUAAAACAUUUAGAAUGGUGCCUGACCCCCAGCAAGUAUACAAUAAAUAUUGGCUAUUGUUGUUAUUUUAUGUGGUUUUCUUUUAACUUUUUCAAGUAAAUAUAACUUACCUCAUGCUUGUUAUGUGUCAGGCCUUGUAUUUAUCCUCUGAAGACAAAGAUGAGGAAGACAUAGUCCUCCUAGGGGUACAAAUCCUUCAAUAAAGGCAGAAACAAGCAUUGGUCAAAUGUGCCCUGUGCCAAGAAUCCAGGAAUGCAGGAGAGCGGGCUCCUGUCCUCCAGCAGCUCACAGAGUGACGAGGGAGACAGUUGCAUAAGCAGACUGUGGCAACACAGGGUGGUCAGGGCUGCGGCAAAGGGAAGCCCAGGGACUGCAGGAGCCCGGGGAAGUGGCCCAAAGUGGGUGGAGGCUGAGAGGAGCCAGAAGGACCUCUGCUGAGGGGACUGUUGAGAGACAAGGAUUUGCCCACUUUGGCAACUGGCAUCCUUCUCCCUUGGGGAGGUCGGGGGAUGCCUGGGCUCAGUCUUGAUUCUGGGUAUUGGAAAGCCAUCAGGGUUUUGUGAACAGGGAAUUAUGUUUGAAUAAUAGUAACAAUAACUAACAUUUCUCAUGCAGCUACUAUAUACUGUAUGCUGUGCGUACACAAUCUCAUCUCAUAUCCUCACCACAAUGCUGUGAGAUAAGAAAGUGAGACUGGGAGAUAGGAUUGACUUUCCUAAGACCACAGAGUGGAGGAGGAGGAGGGACUGAGUUGGAUAGGUCAGGGACCUCUCCGGGGCUGGCACCAUGCCUGAUUCACCUUGGUACCCGCAGGCCCAGCACAGGGUUGGCACAGAACAGGGCCUGAAAUGCUUGCUGAAUGACUGAAUGAACAAGGGACAGGAGGGGUGAUGAUGGCAGGAGCACCGUGCCGGGCUCUCUGGGGAUCUAAGUCCCUUUCUGGUGGGGUGGCCACAGAUAUUGCCGCUGGGCUGCCCUUUGGGGGACUACGGCUCAGGAGGCUGCUGAGGAGACAGGGUGGUUUCCAGGCCAAGGGCUAACAGCACCUGCCCAUCCGCGAGGGAGGUGAAGGGGCAAGAGGGGAGGGAGGGUGGACCUAACACUGGCUCUUGGCACCUGCAGGCCGGUUGUUUUGAGUGGCCAAUGCCCUGGAAUCUCAUUCUCUAAAGAAGGUUGUGUGGGUUGGACCCGGCUCACAAGUCUGAGGCUGAAAUCGAAUCCCAGCUCGCUCUCCGCACCCAUUCUCCCCAGUGUGGGUGAGGCGGGCUGCAGCCCUCCAGAGGAAGAGGUGCCUUCUCCUUCCUGCAGAAGACAGCAGGGGCGGACAGCGCGGGCCUAGGCUCACUCCUAGACAUCCCUCAGCCUCUGAUCCGCCUGUCACCUCCUCCAGGAAGCCUCUGCUGCUUCCUCUGGACCUGCUACCUCCGUGGUGAGGGGCUCGC